rnacentral:lncRNA from 1 species
UUGCAUACAGGAAAUUUGAAUUAUUAAAUGAUAUAUGAUAUCUAUAAGAACAAAGUUCAUUUGACCUUUUUAUAUUGAUGGAUAUAGUAAUGAAUAAUGUUUAUUGCACAUAUGAUUUGAAGUUUUAAAAGUUCAUGUUAUAGUUGUCCCAGCCUCUACCUAUAACAUUUGUAACACCAGCAUAAUCUUUGGCUUCUAUUCCGAACAAACGAUCUACAUGUGCCGUUAAGAAUCCUCUGUUCUUGCUGAUGAGAUAUGCAAAUUUCAUUGCAUUUUGCGUCACCUUCACCACGUUUUCGACAAAUAUUAUAGUUUUUUUGAUAUUGAGUUAACGUCCCCCAUGCACAUCCAUUGUAGAACCUAUCAUCAGCCUUUCCUCUUGAUAUUCCUAAUACAUUGAUGAUCGAUGUGUAAGAAACAUUCAAAAUCCCUCUAAUUAAAAAUGCAUAUCUUAAUUUUAUUUAGAUCUUAGUCGAAAAACAAAAAAAAAACAGUUCUCUUAUAUAAUAGAACUAUAGAAGUCACUAAUCAUUUGGGGGUUUAAUUACGUUUUCAAUUUCUUAGAACAAAAAUUAAAUCAUAAGAGAGUAAAACAUUAGAAGCAGAAGCAAAGUCAAUUUUGAUGACAAUGCGGAAUUUCUGGAGCAUGGGUUUCACUAAAAUUAUUUUCGAAGGUGACUGUCAGGUGGACAUCUUCCAUCACUAAAAUUAUUUUCAAAGUCACGAUACCAAUAUUCUAAAUAAUAAUGGAACAAGACAUCAGCAUUGACAACAUCAUUACGGACAUCUUCCAUUGGGCCUCCAAAUUCCAAUCGUGUUUGUAUAUGUCUAUUUCCCGAAAUUUAAACAAUCCAGCACAUAUUCUUGCAAAGAAGGGACCUCCAAAACAAAUUUAUUACUCUGGAUGUUUGUAUCCACCCAAUUGGUUACCACAAGUAUUGUAUCGUGACUAUGUAACUUCAAAAUUUAGUUAAUAAUUUUUUUAUUUGCAGAAUAAAAGAGAAUAAAACAUUUUUGUUGAGAAAAUAGUUUUAUUUUAAAAGUGUGAAUCUAAACACAAACUCCAAAUGAAAAGGGAAUUCUUUUUAUUUUUACAUUAGCUAAUGAAAUUUGUUGAAAAUGUCUAAAGAUAUGAUUUCGUUUGAAAAGAAUACACAGUAGUUAUAAAACCCAAUAGAAAAGAGGUUUCACAAAAAAAAAAAAAUCAUCUCAAUAAACCUACAUCAUUGGGCGGAUCUUGAGAAAUAAUCAAACAAAAUAGAUUUUAUCCAGUGCAUCCACACGGGAAUUUUGUUUUAAUCAAAAUUUGUGAUCUAAUUUGUUUUUUUUAUAAAUAUAAUUUUUUAAUAAAUAAUAUAAAAAAAUUAUGUUUAGAUAUCAUUUUUUUUAGUAUUAUUAUAACCACCAUGAUCAUAAAAACAUAAUUUUAACUCGAUUAUUUUAUUAAUCAAAAAGUGACCGAUAUUAUAAAAAUAUAUUUCUAACUCGCUCAUUUUAUUAAUCCAAAAAGAUCAUGAUUAUAAAACUAUAAUUCUAACCCACCCGUUUAUAUUACUGUAUAAUAUAAAUAUUUACUAAUUUUAAAAUAAUUUUCUCCUAAUAUCUUGCAUGUUUUGAUAACCUAAUCCACAUAAGACCAUAAUUAUAAAAAAAAAACUUAACUUAUCUAUUUUCAAUAUGUGAAAUUUUAAUCUGAUAGAAUAUGAUUAAAAAAAUAUAAUAAGAUAUUUGUUAGUCAUAUGUGUCAUUCUGAAAAUCUUAUUUAAAUUCAAAAUAUUAAAUUAAAUCUAACUUAUAUUUAAGGAAGUCUAGUUAAAUUAAUAUCAAUAGAUUAUAGAUAGAACAAUAUUUAAGGAAAUUUUUAGUUAUCUAAAUUAAUAUCUAAUUUUUCAGAAUUAAAUUUAUAUAUAUAAAAAUAUUUUUAAAAAAAAAAUUUGGAAGUGUUUGAAAACAAACACUAAAAAUAUUUUGUUUUAAUAUAAUAGAUUUAAUAUAAUAGAUAUAAUAGUAAGACUUCAAAGAGAUUCAUAGAUCAUAAUGUAUAUUACCUGUUGAAAUCAACGAGAUUAUCAUCAUAAAGGUGAUGAACCCAACGAUGUUUACACCUUUAAACAUUUCUGCUUUUAAUUUAUGUUUUUUUACCUUUCUU